rnacentral:lncRNA from 1 species
CUCUCUAGAACUUUCUGGUUCUGUCUUCUUCUCCGAUGAACCCCACCGUCUCUCCGGCCGCCUCCAAUCUUAGCCCAUUUGACCAUCAACCGUCAUGAAACCCUAGAUCACUGGCUCUCUCUAUUUUGAGACCCCAGAAUCCUCACUAUGCGAAUCAACCCUUGAAAGCUUCACCUGGUCCAUUUCGGGCUAUCUCCGGCGACAUCCCUUUAACCCUAAGGCUCCGAUGGGCCUCUCACCUCCCUGUUCAACACCUCUAGGACCUUCAAGGCUUAUG